UACAGAGGUCUCAAGCGUUGUUUCGGAUUCAUUGGGCGUAAAGGGUGCGUAGGCGGCGCGGUAAGUCGGGUGUGAAAUCUUGGAGCUUAACUCCGAAACUGCAUUCGAUACUGCCGUGCUUGAGGACUGGAGAGGAGACUGGAAUUUACGGUGUAGCGGUGAAAUGCGUAGAUAUCGUAAGGAAGACCAGUGGCGAAGGCGGGGUCUCUGGACAGUUCCUGACGCUGAGGCACGAAGGCCAGGGGGAGCAAACGGG
rnacentral:rRNA from 1 species